ensembl:snRNA
GUGUUGUAUGAAAGGAGAGAAUGUUGGCACUCCCCUUGAUAAGGAUGGAAGAGACUCUCGGACCUAACAAUAUGCGUACGGUUAAGGCAUUGCCACCUACUUUGUGGCAUCUAACCACUGUUGGGC